UAAUACGGUGAAAACAGGACUUAUAUAUGUUCAUAAUGCGGGUUGAACGUUUCUACCAGCUACCGAAAUAGCUGACUAUAAGUCCCCUGAUCUUGGGG
rnacentral:ncRNA from 2 species